GGGGGGGCUCGGCCUCCACUGCGAAGAAAUAACAAUGAGCCCUUCCGCCCCAGAGAGGGGCUUCAGUUACCACAGGACAACCCAAGAUAUAAAGCCCAUGGCAUAUCCAGUAACCAGGAAAACAAGCAUUCUCACGACCCAGCCGAACUCCUAACCAUCAACCUGAAACUCCAGCUUUAUCAAGACUCAUAAGAAUCUGCAGGCGAAGGGAGGCCAGGACCCUUGCGGUAUUCCAGCUCCACCCCAGUGCCAAGCUCAUUCCAGGAGUGGAGUAACCACUUGUUGAUUGAUUACUAUACCGACAAGAGCCCUGAAAGAGCGUGAACAAACAGGUAGGCCAGAAAACAUCUGGGUUUUGCCCAGAAAUGUUCCUCUCUAAAUGAAUGAAUCAGAAU
rnacentral:lncRNA from 1 species